rnacentral:lncRNA from 1 species
GUUCUGAGUGAAGCAAGCGGGCGGCAGAGCUGGAGGUUUCACAAGGCUGCUGGGAGAGGCUUCGGUGCAGGAACCCAAGUCCAAGUUUGCUUCUUAGGAUGUGUAAAGCAUGGUCUUUAAGAAAGAGAACCUGGAUUUCAUUGAAUUGUAUUUAUGUCGAAUCACGAGUAAGUUAGCAAUUUCAAGCUCUGAAUGUGGAAUGAAACCAGAGAAUCUCAGAACGCUAAAGGAAUGCGUACUGUCAUCUCCUUCAGACCUCUCAGGUCGCUGUAAUGAGCUUUAUUUUCUCACUCUCUCUGCCUCUCUCUCUCUCUCUCUCUCUCUCUCUCGCUCGCUCGCUCUUUUUUUUUUUUUUUUUUUGUCUCCAAGCCAUCCCAGAUGAGUACUUUGGAGGGAGCAGAACUAGUUCUCUUGUGCAAUUAUUAGCAUGAACUCUGUGCAUGAAAGCAACAUCAGGAGUCUGCCUGGGUCCGAGAGGAGUUCAGCCUUACUACAGCCUCAGAUGAGAACAGGAGUGGGACCAGCUCUGAGUUAGAUGAAACCCAGAAGACUUCAGAGAAAGUCCUCUAUCACUUCCAGCCCAGCCCAGUAAGGGAAACUGGGACUCUUCCUCCUUUUGUUCUACUCAAGUUGCUGCUUCCAAGGCUCUGUGACCGACAAGGGAUGGACUGGACUAUUAAUCUAAAAUGUUUAAUUUUUAAAGUCAUUUGUCAUAGAGAGUCACAACCCCGAGCAAUGAAAAUAUUUUUUAAUUCAUAGGACACCUGCUGGGAGAAGUGUGCUCCUGUUACUCAGAAUUCUGCAAGUGAAAGUAAAAUGUGUUGGGGAUAGUUCCUCCCUAAUCUCCAUUGGGAAGUUUGCAUCUGGAUCCCAGUUGUAUACAGUUUUUGUUAAUUUAUGCUUGUGUGAACAGCUGCCUGAGACAGACCAUAUUUGGAUUUAGCAAGUGUUUCUGUUCCUUCAAAAAAAAAAUAUAUCAAAACAAAACAACUCCACAGUAAUGACAAUGAAGGCUUUCAAAAGAAUUCUGGAAACUCAGGUUCCCAGAAGUGGCCCAAUAACAUGAAGAUAUGAAACAAGGUCUCUACUAUGUCAGAGACAUCGCCAUGUUAGUUAGCUGUCAACUGACAUCUAACAGAAGCCUUUUCACAUGACUCUCUGUCAGACAUCCCUGAUAACCGUGUGCACACUUUCCCUGUGUCACAUCACCACUCCACCAGUGGUGUCAGGAGGAAAGACAACAAAGGCCAGAACUGUUACUGCUGAGACAGAAAGAAGACUGUAUCAGUAGCAUGACUCUUUAAUCACUGUUAUGUACAAUUUAUCAUCUGACAGACUUACAGGGAAUAAAUAAAGGAAAAUAGACAAUUGGCA